CCUGGCGACUAUAACGGCGGGGCCACACCCGUUCCCAUUCCGAACACGGAAGUUAAGCCCGUUCGUGCCGAUGGUACUGCCUGGGCAGCUGGGUGGGAGAGUAGGUCGUUGCCGGGU
rnacentral:rRNA from 2 species